GGCCCACACUCACUGCCCAGGGAGAGCUGCUGGCUGCUGGUGGAGGGAUGUCCAGGCCGCUCAGGAGCCGCGCCCCUCUCCGGCCAGGCCCAGAGAGCACGGGGGCCCCCACAGGAGCCAGAGGGGAGGCCGCCAGGGCAGUUGUGAGGGGGCCUGUGGGGGAACCUGUGAGACAGCCUGUGAAGAGACUCACUAGGGCUUCUGUGCGGGGGCCCAGGAACGUGCCCCAGGUGGAACCCACAGGGCAUCUGGGAAGAGACCCACGAAGGCGGUGCAGGGGCCGGGAAGAGGCCCCGGAGGGGCCCUCACGGGGAGCUGCGGAGGUGCGGGAGACGCGGCGGCGGCACGAGCGGCGCCUGGUGGAGGUGGACAGCAGCCGGCAGCAGGAGUACGACUUCAAGAUGGCACAGGCGCUGGAGGAGCUGCGGAGCCAGCACGACGAGCAAGUGCGGCUCUACAAGCUGGAGCUGGAGCAGACCUACCAGGCCAAGCUGGACAGCGCCAAGCUGAGCUCUGACCAGAACGACAAGGCGGCCAGUGCAGCUCGCGAGGAGCUGAAGGAGGCCCGCAUGCGCCUGGAGUCCCUCAGCUACCAGCUCUCCGGCCUCCAGAAGCAGGCCAGUGCUGCUGAAGAUCGCAUCCGGGAGCUGGAGGAGGCCAUGGCCGGGGAGCGGGACAAGUUCCGAAAGAUGCUGGACGCCAAGGAGCAGGAGAUGACGGAGAUGCGGGACGUGAUGCAGCAGCAGCUGGCCGAGUACCAGGAGCUGCUGGAUGUGAAGCUGGCCCUGGACAUGGAGAUCAACGCCUACCGGAAGCUCCUGGAGGGCGAGGAGGAGAG
rnacentral:sRNA from 1 species